ensembl:lncRNA
GGGGACUCCACUCAGUGCCUACCACAACGUGCUAAUGUGGUUGCGUGGCGGGAUGCACAUUAAAUAGUGUGAUUGGCAAUAUACCAUAGAAGAGAAGAAGCAUGACGUCCUUACCUGUUUCCUAAAUAGUGACGAGGAUGCUCAUGGCAUUCCAGACUACAGGAGAAGAAUCUCUCCCCCCUAUUCCCUGACAGUUCAACCUCCACUGCUGAGACCCAGCUAAUAAGAUCCCUGGGCUCUCUCCAACCUGCUUUUAUCUCCAUUUAAUGCAAUGGAAUAUAUAAACACUAUAAUUGUACAUUUUGACAUUUUAGCAGAAAUACUAUCAGUAUAGUGUAUACAACCACAUAGUGUUUAGUCAGGACAAAGGUACAUUUGUACUGCUGAAUUUUAAAAAAAGAGCAUGUAUGUGUUCAGGAGAGGAAAUUGCUAUGUCGUGUUUGGGUCUACAUAAUGUUUUGUAAGGACAUAUAAAUUGUAUUAAAU